rnacentral:rRNA from 1 species
AUGGACGAAGCCGGAAGGGCCUCCGCUCCCGCGGUGGUGACGGUCACGGCCUCCGCCGCCGCCCCCUCGCCUCCUCCUCCGCCGCCCCCCGCCACGGCCACCGCCGCGGCCGCCGACCCGCCAUCGCCCGACCCUGACGCUCUCUAUGAAGAGGGAAUGUGGCAGCAGAUGGCCAUGAGCAGCGGCGCCACUAUGCAAUCUGGGCCAUAUCCUGUGCGGCCAGGGGAACCGGACUGCACCUACUACCUCAGGACUGGAUUGUGCAGGUUCGGCAUGAGCUGCAGGUUCAAUCACCCUCAGGACAGGAAUACGGCUAUUGCCUCUGCCAGAAUGAAAGGAGAAUAUCCUGAGAGGGUGGGACAACCUGAAUGUCAGUACUACCUGAAGACUGGAACAUGCAAGUUUGGGCCUACGUGCAAAUUCCAUCACCCUAGAGAAAAGGCUGGAAUCGCAGGAAUGGUGCAGCUAAACACAUUGGGAUAUCCACUUCGACCGAAUGAAAGGGAGUGUGCAUACUACUUAAAAACGGGACAGUGUAAAUAUGGGAAUACAUGUAAAUUUAACCAUCCAGAAAUUUUCAAUGCGGUGGCUUCUUCACGUGGUUCCCCUAUUUAUCCUCCUGUACAUAACUCUGGAAGCACUGGUCCACAUUCCUAUACUGGAACAAUGGCAAGCUGGACUUAUCCAAGAGGUUCUUUCAUUCCAAGCCCUAGAUGGCAAAGUCCUUCAAACUAUACACCGAUGAUUGUACCACAGGGUCUUGUUCAAGUACCAAGCUGGAACUCAUAUCCUGGCCAAAUGGUACCUGUUUCAUCUCCUGAGAGUCGACUACAGUCUCCAGGGGCUCAACAAUACUAUGGAACUUCUCGACAAGGUGAAGCCAGUGCAGGAAAUCAGGGAAUGCAAUCAUCCUACAGAUCCAGUUCGUUUCCUGCACCUCAGUAUGCACUGCAGAGAGAGAAUGUAUUUCCUGAGAGACCUGAUCAGCCAGAAUGCAUAUACUACAUAAAGACUGGAGAUUGUAAAUUUGGUGCAGUUUGCAAAUUCCAUCAUCCCCGGGUGCGCUCACAGCCUCCCCCAGACUGUAUCUUGAGCCCAAUGGGUCUUCCAUUACGCCCAGGGGAAGAGCUCUGCAAGUUCUACUCUCGAUAUGGCAUCUGCAAGUUUGGCGUAAACUGCAAGUUCGACCAUCCGAUGGCGGCUCCGAUGGGGGUGUACGCGUACGGCUACUCUGCCUCCGCGUCGCCCAAUGCUCCCAUGGCUCGGCGUCUCCUGGAGUCCCCCUCCGGGUCUGCGUACGCCUCCUAA